rnacentral:lncRNA from 1 species
GAGGUCACUUCUUUGAUCCCCCUGUGAGACCAGUGGAACACAAGGAAUGUUUCCCACUGUAUCAUGUCCAGUAAAUACAACCAGGGGCUUCUGUGUUUUGUCUCCUUCCCCCUUUCUUCCCCAUGAAGGGUGAUUUUUCUCCAUCUUAUUGCGUCACCUGUUUGCUUUAAACUAGAAAACAAAUAACCGCAUCUCUAGUGAGCCUCCCCUUUGUCCCUAGGUAUCAGAAUGGUGCGUGGGUUUGGUUUGAAGCUAAAGAAAGGAGAAAGAGCCAGAGAAGAAGAAAAAAAGAUUCCCUGCAGCCUGCCAGGGACGUGGUAACUGCCCUGCCAAGAGUGAUCCUGGGAGAGCUAUUGAAAGAGCUCUGAGUAAGUACACACUGGGCGGAUUUUCCCUCCCCUUCGUACCUGCUCCGCACCUGUACAGGGAGCAGUCCCACACAUAUCACCUGAUCGCAGCCCUUUCAGAGACCGUGAGAAAAAUAA